rnacentral:rRNA from 15 species
AAGAGGGAAACAACCCAGACCGCCAGCUAAGGUCCCUAAAAUUGGCUAAGUGGGAAACGAAGUGGGAAGGCUAAAACAGUCAGGAUGUUGGCUUAGAAGCAGCCAUCAUUUAAAGAAAGCGUAACAGCUCACUGGUCAAGCGUUCCUGCGCGGAAAAUGUAACGGGGCUUAAGUGAUACACCGAAGCUGCGGACUCGAAAGAGUGGUAGCGGAGCGUUCUGUAAGUCUGUGAAGGUGGCCUGCGAGGGCUGCUGGAGAUAUCAGAAGUGAGAAUGCUGACAUGAGUAGCGAUAAAGAGGGUGAGAGGCCCUCUCGCCGAAAGUCCAAGGGUUCCUGCGCAAUGCUAAUCAGCGCA